AGAAUCAACGCUGGCGGCGUGCCUAACACAUGCAAGUCGAACGAGAAAGUGGAGCAAUCCAUGAGUAAAGUGGCGCACGGGUGAGUAACACGUGACUAACCUACCUUUUUAGUGGGGGAUAACCUAGGGAAACCUGGACUAAUACCGCAUAACACUUACGAGUCAAAGCAGCAAUGCGCUGGAAGAGGGGGUCGCGGCCGAUUAGCUAGUUGGCGGGGUAAUGGCCCACCAAGGCAGUGAUCGGUA
rnacentral:rRNA from 1 species